ACACUCGCGAGUCGCCACGAAUAUAGGCGGCCUCACCUCUCACCCGUCAAUGGCGGCAAGCCGGCAACGGCCGAAGCGGCGAGACAUCGGGUAGUUGCGGUCGCGGCGGCGUUGCGCGGGGAGCGCAACGCCAUGGAGAGCAGCAGCCUGUGGGGCGUGCUUGGGCAGGCGUCGAACGUGGCGCAGCUGGUCGGCGUCGACGCGCUCGGGCUGGUCUCCAUGGUGGUGCAGGCGGCGCUGGCGGCGCGCCGCCACCGGGACGCGUGCCGGCGGCUGGGGCAGCACGUGGAGCUCGUCGGCGGCCUGCUGUGGGAGCUGGAGCUCGCCGAGCUGAUGCGGCGGGAGGCCACCAGGCGGCCCCUCGAGCAGCUCCAGGGCGCGCUGCGGCGGUGCUACGCGCUCGUCACGGCGUGCCAGGAGGACCGCGGCUACCUCCACCGCCUGCUCCUCGGCGCCCGGAUGGCCAACGAGCUCCGCGCCGCGCAGCACGAGAUCGACAUGUACAUCCGCCUCAUCCCUCUCAUCGCUCUCGUCGAUAACAGCAGCAGCAAUCGUCGUGUCACAGCAACCGAGGGGGUGCGUGCUGUAGUCCCAAGCUGUUCAGACCAUCACACAAGGUUUCAAAGAAGAGCAUUGGAGUUCAUUGAAUUACAUGUUCAAGGAGCGGCCAAACCUAGUGAAAUUGGGGGAAAAUCAUUAGUAGUAACAGUGGACCCGCAACCGCAAGAAGAAAAAAUAAUGGAUAUCGAGGCAGUACUGAAACUUUUUGUCCAUACUGAAGAGAACUACCCAGGAUUUAGGAAGUUCGAUUUCAUUCAGAUUGUGGAUGCUACAGAUGGUUUUUCCGAGAAGAGAAUACUUGGAAAGGGUGGAUUUGGUACUGUUUACAAGGGCCACUUGCUUGAUGGACUUACAGUUGCCAUAAAGACAUUUGAUGCUGAUACAGCAAUAUUUGAUUUGAAAAGUGAAUUGCAGCUUGUAAGGAUUCAGCAUACCAAUCUAAUUAGGUUAUUGGGGUGGUGCAUCCAUGAAAAAGAAAGGAUCCUUGUAUAUGAGUACAUUCAGAAAGGCAGUUUGCACAAUAUUAUCUUCCAUAAAACGAAGGGGGCAUUGCUAAAUUGGUCCAAGCGAUUUCAGAUAAUUAAAGGGCUAGCUGAGGGGCUUCUUUACCUGCACAAGCACUGUUGGAUUGUACAUAGAGACUUGAAACCAAGUAACAUCCUCUUAGACCAUGACAUGAACCCAAAGAUUGGUGAUUUUGGAUCGGCGGUAACACUGGUUUCAGAUGUAGCAGAAGAGCGUACAAAGAGAGUCGUGGGAACCAGUGGUUACAUAGCUCCAGAGUAUGCAUCUCAAGGCCUUUAUUCACUUAAGACAGAUGUAUUUAGCUUCGGUGUCGUGGUUCUAGAAACUAUUAGUGGACGAAAGAAUUUCAUAAUGGAGAAACAGAGGGAUAUUGUUGGCUAUCUCGUUCGAGAUGCAUGGCAUAUGUGGAAAGACGGAAGGUUGCAAGAGCUCGUUGAUCCAGCACUGUGUGAUGGAUAUGAAAGCACCGUGAUAAUGCGAUGCACGCAGGUGGCGCUUCUUUGUGCUCAGGAAGAUCCAGCCGAUCGGCCCACCAUGACAGAUGUUACUGCAAUGCUUGACUCUGAAAGCAUAAUGCUAUCAGAUCCAAAGGAGCCAACUGAGCUUACUCAUGGAGGUGCGCCAGUCCUGACAGGUCAUCGACAUAUAUUGGUCACUCAAGCAAGGCGAUAGACAUAACCAUCACAAGUUCAGCUCCGGUUUCAACCAGAGUUCGCAUCAUUGUUGAACCAGAGAUUUGAUUUGAGAAAAAAAAAAACAACCACCAGCUGUAGGAACCCGUGGCGCGGUGCACUUCUUCCUUGUGCUGCCCAGCGCGGCGCUGCUGUCUUCCUCGAUGCCGACUCGAUCGUCAUCUCCCCCAUGCUACCGCUGCCCCGCCUCCUCCGAUAUAAGCGGAUUCAGUCAAGUUGAUAUAUUCAGAUUCAGUCAAGCCAUAACCUUGUUAUUGUCCAUUUUCUGAUACAGUGCUAGUAUUCUUCAGUCUUGGUGAACUUGUUCUUCCUCUAGAGAUACUUACUGUUUAAUUACUCCAUUGGAGUAAUUCUGAAGAUUUUUGUACAUAUAAUUGAUGGUUUCUGAAGAUUUCUGAAAAACUGUGCAAUAUGUGAACUGGAGUAUAAUUAAUGGCUGGAGUACUUGAAUGCAUGUAUGCUGCUCAUUAGUGCACA